CAGGCACGUCCUCUGCAGGUGCUGGCCGCCCUCCGGUGAGGCGUCCACAUGCCUCACAACGCGAGUCGAAAGCUCCGAUUACAGGGACUGCCUUGUGCUCGGGGUCUGGGCCAGGGGUCCUCACUGCCCGGGAAUGGGGGGGAGGGACUGGGCAGGCCCUGGGGGAGGAGCAGCAGGAACACAGAACAGCCCUGGCCGGGAGAGCUGUGCGCCAUCUCCAAAAACCCACCGAGGGGCUGCUUCUCCCAGGGGUCUCCAGCAGUGUUACCAGCUUGCCCGGGGGCUUUUUCCAUGUCACCACUGACCGACCGAGGAGACUCUGGGCCAUUGGUCAUCUAAACUCCGGACACAUCCUCCCAGGGCUAGGCAGGGGUCCCAGGGCAUGGGGGGACCCGCCUCAGACACCCUUUGCAGCCAGCUCUGAGCCCCACCAGGCCUCUGUCCCCCUCCCCACCUGCAGGACACAGCCUGGACAGUCCCCCGGGGGGCACAGAGGCUCACUUUGCCAGGGAAACGGCAAGAAAGACGAAUCUAGGGUGCCCACCGUGACCCCCGACUUCCUGUCUAGUCUUGAGUUAGUGGGGACCCCUAUGAGUCGGCAUCUUCUGCCCCCAGGAACCCCCACGUGGUGUUCAGAGAAGCAGGAAAUGCCAGGGAGGAGAUUCAGGGUCCUACCCACACGGCCUCAGCCCUCCCUCGCCGCAGAGACCUGGCCCUCCGGUCACAGAGGCACGAGAGGCCAGACCCGCAGGCCCACCAGGUCCGGGCGGGGGCUUCCUGGGCCUGGGCCCAGACCUCAUCUCACACGGUGGCUGCGCACCUACGUGGUGGCAUGCACUGGGCCGGCACUUGGUCCCGUGACGUCCCUGAGUGGCCCCCACGACAAGUCCGGCACGAGAGGGGCAGCCCCCUGCCCUCCACCCGGCGGUCAGGGAGCGAGGAGAGCCUGCCCCCUCCACCCACUCCUGCAUUCCCGCGUCCGCGUUUCCCCAGCUCCUCCCGGCCGGCUCCGAGGGGAGCAGCAGUGUCUCGACAGAGCCCCAAGGGGGACGGCGGGCUGAGCCCCUGCCCGGCCGCCCCUCCCUCCGCGACAUCCCCAGGCCCUGAGACCCAAAGGUGGGCGGCUGCUGCCCCCUGGCGUCCAUCGCCGGAGCCGUGCCCACCCCGCGGCCUCCCAGCCCGCCUCUCUCGCUCCUCACUGUGGGCGACCUGAGCAGUCUGUGCCCG
rnacentral:lncRNA from 1 species